rnacentral:rRNA from 1 species
UUAACGUACCGGUAUUCGUCCCUUCGGCUCUCGAGCUGGUCGGAAAAGGUAGCUUCGGCCUCCGGCCGAGGAUGGGUCCGCGGCGGAUUAGCUUGUUGGUGGGGUAACGGCCCACCAAGGCUCCGAUCCGUAGCUGGUCUGAGAGGACGAUCAGCCACACUGGGACUGAGACACGGCCCAG